GAAGAAGAAACCCGAUUUUAUUAUACUGAUGCCGUGACCUCGGAGCGAAGCUAACACAAAGCGGACACAACGUGAAGAUGAAGAAUCCACUUUAUACAACUAUAUGUCCACGCAACCACUAUACGAUCAUCGGUGACAGUAAAAUUCCAUGGUAACAAGAUGCAGAUCAACAUGUAACCUGUUCACUAUCAGCAAUACCUCCAAUAUCAACCUGGCCAUUUGAAGACUUUCCUGAAUAGAUACCAACAUCAAUCAAAGUCGAAUUGUGACCAGCUCUAAGAAUAUUCCUACGACCACCCAUGAUGUCCAACUGGCUAUGGCACAGCCGCUGAUUCCACCAUCGUACCAGGCACAACUAUACCCACGUCUCCACAGCAUCAUGCCUCCUCCGGAGAUCGCUGAAGAGUCCGUUUGAACAGAUUACUUUAAAAUAUACCAACAUAUCAACGAGUUCCUUGUUUGUCAACACCAAUUAUUAAUGUCUACAACCUUUAGCAGAGAUUCCUCACGUGGUAUUAACACGGAGUUGUUUAAGUAAUUAUGAUUCUACUGCUAACUGUGAAGAGACAUUGUUGUAACUUACGUCUACAUUAUUCCUAUGAAGAGUUUUCCUCACAUGGUUGUACAUGGAGUGAACAUUUUGUUUUAUGAAAUAUAAGUGACAUUAUAUGAAGAGUUCACCUCACGUGGUUAUAACACGGAGUAAUAAAUAAAUUGUUUAAUGAACUCUCAUAAUAUUUCGUCAUGUUGUUGGACUGAUUCAUAUCCGAUGCAGUUUUUAUGCCGGAAUAUUACAAUGUAUCUACGAAAUUUUGGACCAGCCCCUCAUAACAACUGACACAGUCAACGGAACAUUUCAACCACAUAUUAUGAUUAUUGAAGGAACAUUUUCCUGUUUUAUCUACAAAUAUGUUACAAGGAACUCAGUUCUACUUUACCAGUCUUAGCCUUAUUGUGUGCAAGACGUUUUUAUCCUGGAUUAAACAGACGGUUGUACGUCACUCCUAGGAACUUUUAUUUACUUUAUAUAUUGUUCAACAGUUUUCUCGACGGAUUAUUGCGCGCCUGAACGUGGACCCAAUACAACAGCUGUGCCAGACGAAGAACAAUUUCAAUAAUAAAAUUUAAUUACCAGUGACAUUCAGUGAUGAACUUGUGAAACCCAUGUACUUAAUCCUUUUGAUUUAACCUGUUAAAAAUAAGUGUUAAUUUCGACUAUUUCGCUUACGCUUGAUGUCAAAUUAUAUCUAAUUUGAAAUCUUUUAAAUUGCAUAGAAACGAAAUGUACUGUAAUAUGUUCAGUAGAAGUUUAUAUAAUUAUAGAACCUGUAAAUAAUCAUAUCUACAUGUACACGUGUUAGCUAAUUUGCCAAUAAUUAGACGGACCUCGGUUCUCUAAACAACUUGGAUGUUAUCUAUACCAUGUUCAUGUAAUACUGGUAGUAUCCAAUUAUCUUUGUGUAGUUAUAAUUAAUGUUGUGUUUACAUGUAGACUUCAGGUCACGAACCCCAUAACCAUAUUAAGUUAGGGGAAAUCUAUCUGUCCGGCCAAUGCACAUCAUGAACAUAUAAAAGAGUAGCCUUCCAUUGAACUAUUGUCGACUACCUGGGAGUCAGAGUAACAACAUCUAUGUUCUGUCCCGGGCUUUCGCCCGGGACGGGACGGGACAGGACAGGACUGACCAGUACGAAUGUAUGAAUGUAUGUACAGAUGCAUAUAUGUAUAUAUAUUCGUAUAUAUUCAUUUAAUAAAGUAUCCACUACAGAAGAAGAAA